rnacentral:rRNA from 1 species
GAUGAACGCUGGCGGCGUGCCUAAUACAUGCAAGUCGAGCGAACAGACGAGGAGCUUGCUCCUCUGACGUUAGCGGCGGACGGGUGAGUAACACGUGGAUAACCUACCUAUAAGACUGGGAUAACUUUGGGAAACCGGCUCUAAUACCGGAUAAUAUAUUGAACCGCAUGGUUCAAUAGUGAAGGACGGUUUUGCUGUCACUUAUAGAUGGAUCCGCGCCGCAUUAGCUAGUUGGUAAGGUAACGGCUUACCAAGGCAACGAUGCGUAGCCGACCUGAGAGGGUGAUCGGCCACACUGGAACUUAGACACGGUCCAGACUCCUACGGGAGGCAGCAGUAGGGAAUCUUACGCAAAGGGCGAAAGCUUGACGGAGCAACGCCGCGUGAGUGAUGAAGGUCUUCGGAUCGUAAAACUCUGUUAUUAGGGAAGAACAAAUGUGUAAGUAAAUAUGGACGUCGUGACGGUACCUAAUCAGAAAGCCACGGCUAACUACGUG